ensembl:misc_RNA
CUUGCAGCAAUGAAAACUGAAGUCCUGUAUUUAUCCACAGUCUAGGUACGGUGCAGGCAGCCGCAAUGCGAGCUUCCAUACACUGCUACCCUGGUAAUGAUCUCCACCCUGACCUGGAGGAACCAUCCUCUCUAGGGGUGUAAAGGUAAUUCAGCCUCCAUGCUGGCCUAGACGUUUGGGUUGU